rnacentral:rRNA from 1 species
CGCCUUCCGAUCAAUAAAUAUGAAAGGUCCUGCCUGCCCAGUGAUAUUUUUCAACGGCCGCGGUAUUAUGACCGUGCAAAGGUAGCAUAAUCACUUGUCUUUUAAAUUAAGACCAGUAUGAAUGGCAAGACGAGAGCAUAACUGUCUCCUUAAGUUAGUCAAUGAAAUUAAUAUUCCCGUGCAGAAGCGGAGAUAAAAAUAUAAGACGAGAAGACCCUGUGGAGCUUAUAAAAAAAGCUAUAUAGACAUCUACAAUAGCCUAUAAUUUAGGUUGGGGCGACCAUGAGGUAAAAUAAAACCCUCAAGACAACAACUAGAAGGACACUUCAAACAAAAAGUAACAUUUAUAAUGACCCAUUAAUGAGCAACGAACCAAGUUACCCCAGGGAUAACAGCGCAAUCCAUCUCCAGAGCCCAUAUCGACAAAUGGGUUUACGACCUCGAUGUUGGAUCAGGACCCCCUAAUGGUGCAACAACUAUUAAAGGUUCGUUUGUUCAACGAUUAAAGUCCU